CCGACUUUAGCUCAGUUGGUAGAGCGCGAGACUGUAAAAGGAUACCUAAGAAAGCGAUCUUGAGGCCACCCGUUCGACCCGGGUAAGUCGGA